UAAUUUAAAUUUCAUAUAAUUAAUUUUAGUUAACUAAAGUGAAAUUGUGUUUUGUACAAAGUUUUGAUCUGAAAGUUAGAAUUUUGACUAUUAAUUGAUGUGAUUUAAUGAGAGGGAAGUUGGGAAAGUAAACGCAAAAGUUUUUAAAUGUUGCCCUGGUCGACAUGCAUCAAGGCUUCUGCAACUGCCACCGUCAGACACGAGAAAAAUCAUGUAAAAAAGGCCAACCACAAAUCAAACCAAAUCGUCAAAGGAACCAUGCAACCAACCCCUCCAUAGAAAAUGACAUCUUUUCUCAACUUGCCCUUUCUUGUCCUAUUCCUAUUUCAAUCUAUAAACUAAAAACCCCAUUCUUCAAGCACAAAAUAACCAUAUAAAACGAUAAAUUUGUCAAAUAUAAUGACUUAUAAUUGAAUACUAAUGCAUGACUUACCUGUCUUCUAACCUCGAUCAAAUAUUUGGGAUAUAAAUAGUUUAUAUAGUUAAUGUUUAUUAUACAAUUAUCAUCACAGGAUAGUAUUUUUUUUUUAUUAAAUUUCAUAAUAAAAUUUGUGCAAUUUACUGUUGCCUGAUCUCAUCUAACAUGAAUGAUAAUGCAGUUUAAUUCUUCCUUCACUCCCUUCCAAAUACAAUUAAGAUCCCGUAAGACGAUCACAAUACUGACGUAACGUAGAAAAUACUAGAGAGAUUAAGCUUGCAUGAUCAUGAUAUCCGAGAUCCAAUUUGUGCGAGAUUAAAAUACAUCAAACCAAAAUAGCAGAAAUACAGUAUUUAAGAGAGUAAAAGUAAGGCAAAAAUUUGUAAGGUUGAAGUCGCAACAAUCGAACAUAAAAAUUGAUGAGCAAUAAGAAAAGAGGGGGGAAUUGUGGAAAGGGAAGAUUAAGAAAGCCAGAUGAGAGAAGAUUAUACAAGUAAAAGUUGUUUUUAUUAUCGUUGUCGUUGUUUAUUGAUGGAUGGAUGAAUGAAUUAUGUGAUGGCAUGGCAGGAAGAAGCAGAAACACGUGACGUAAUACAUAGGUACCCUAACUUUUGAAGUUCUUGAGAGAGAGAGAGUGAGAGAGAGGAACUACCAGGCAACGUGGACGAAGGAGUUGAAGAUGCGGGAGAAAGUGAGUCUGAUGCGGAAAAAGGCGCGAAAGGAGAAGAGAGAGGAAUCUUGUAGAAAGCUCUGAAGGGCGUGGACGAAGAGAUUGAAGCACCGUAUGGGCGGAAUGUACAGAGUCAGAGGCACAGCGGAGAACGCCACGGCGAACACCAGUUGGAGCAUUUUUAUUUUAUUUUUCCUUUUCUUUUCUUUGGUGUGAGAGCCACUUUCGAUGUGGGAUUAUUAUGAAUGAGUAAAAGGUGGUUAAGAUUGUAUUUAUACUCACUUCGCACAUACAUUCUUCACAAAGUCGUUCCGGAACUGUUAUCAAACCAAACAUAUAUUGAUUUCUGUUAUUAUGUUUUUGAAAAUUAACUUUUGGAGGAAUAAAGAAUACUAAAACACUUUAUUUACCAUAUAAAUAGUCCGGUAAAAGACAUUCUCAGAAGUGAUUGAUGAAUCAACUGUAACCACUUUAUCUUCUACAAAUCUAAAAAAUAAUAUGGAUGGAUUGUGGUUAUUUCUAUGAAUAACUGUUCGGUUCCUUAUAUAUUAAAUAUAUCAACAGAAACUCAAAAUAUAUUAAAGACACCAACACAAACUUCAUAUUGUUAAAAAGACAAAACAUAUUUAUAAAAUAUAAAAACAACUCUAACCAAAAGUUCACAUCAAAAUUUAUAAAUAUAGAAAUAAGAUAAAAAAAAUGAUGAUUGUAUUUAUUAAAUAUUUAAGAUUUAAUUAUGAAAAUCGAUCAUUAUUGUAAACUGAUUUGAUCGGAAUCCCCACAAUCCGAAACACUUUACAUUUCAGUAAAGAAAAUUUAGAAUUUGAUUGGGCAAUUAUUAAACAAUUUGCAUUGCGAGGUAGAAUUGUAUUGGAAUAAAUUUAGUGAAAUGCUAAGACUAUUGACUGAGAAAAAAAAAUAGAAGAAGAAUAAAUAUGUAGCUGCUAGAAUAGGAUUAUAUUAUUUUUAUAUAAAAAAGAUACUUUAGAUUGUUAAAAUAACUUAGGCGUAGGCACCUGCUAGCUAGCUAGUUACUCCUGAAAAAUAUCUCGCGAGACGUAUUGACUCUUUAAAAAAUAUUAUUAAUCUUAAUCUCCAAAGAACAAUUUGGCCUUCAAUUAAUUUUCUGUGUUGAAUGCAUGCUUAAUAUUAAGUUAAACGAAUAGAAAUGAAAAUGAAGCUAUAUUGAGAACUCUCAAGGGCAAAACAUGAAAAUAUUCUAUAACGGUAAAUAUAUUUUUAAAUUAAUGCAAAAUAUGUAGUAAUCAACGCUCAGAUAUUUUUUUUCUACGAUCGGUCCAUGAUUGUUAAAUAAUUUAUUACAGGGACCCGCACUUAAAUCAGAUGCUCACCAUUCUCUCAUUCAACCUCGGAAUGAAGGAGUAAUGACACGAUGAAUUUUACAGAGUAAUCACUUUUAUGACACUCCAAAACUUCUUAUUUUUCUGUAUUGUUUUCAAACUUUCAAUUAUAUUUCAUAAUAAUCAUGAUACAAACAUAGUCAGACAAGAAAUAUAAAAGCCUUUUCGAAUGAAAACUUCUAAUUUAUUAUUAGAUAGUACUUACAUUUUUCAUUUUUCUGUACUAUUUGUUGAUCAGUAUUUGAAGUGACAAAAGAGGUUUAACAUUUAAUAUCCAAAAUGUUGGAAUGGAACGGAUGUAUGGGUGUCAAUUUUGUUUUUCUUUAAAUCUCAUUUAUAGAAAUGUCGCAAAUAUGCUCUGUUUAGUCACAACACAAAAUCUCUUUUUAAAGUUAAUUUAUACAAAUAAAGAACAUAAAACAUUUUCACAAAUGAAGAAAAAAAAAACACAACUCCAUCAAAAUAUAGUUAUAUCAUUAACAUUUAUUAUCCUUACAUGUUAUUGUGAAAGAUUGAAAUAAAAAUACACGAUAGAAGUGAAUUUCUUAAAGUCAAUUAAUAUUUUUAAUGAAUAUGCGACUUGAAAUUUUUUUAAUCCGAUCAUCUGCAUAUUCAUAUGCCCAAAUUAAUUUCACAUGUACUCGUAUAAAAUUGUCUUUCUCACUUAGUAUACCCUGUACCUUGUCAAUCCCCAGAAAAAUACUAUCUGGUACAAUUUCUUGCCUUUUUUCUUCCAUACCACACUCUUCAAUAAACCUUGUUUUUCAAUAAGAAAACUAUUGCCAAGUUGAACUCCAUACAGCUUUGAUUUAGCUUUUUACCUCAUCUUAAACGUUUCAUUUUCAAAAGGGCAGAAAAAUACACGAUAUGGACGAAAUAGAUGGAUGCCAAUUGCCUGAAAAAAAAAAAGAUAUGGAAGUCUGCAUGCAUGUCCCUGAAUUUGACGUUAACGGGUAUUAACAGAUGUUGUAUACAACAUGAUCAUGGGAAUGUAUUCUUCUUGUCUCAUACAAAAGUGAACUAUGUACACUGAAUAAAUAAAAGGGGGGAAAAAGUGAUAUACCACUACAAGCCUACAAUAGAGUUUGUUGCAACUCAAGGAGAAGAUAUGCAUGCUAGCAACUUGCGGCAAAGCUGUUGUAACUCAAGAGAAGGAUCUGACGAAGAUAUGGUUGAGAGUACAGACUUGGCUUCUAAUAGUCCAACAGAUAUGUUUUCCAAAAUCACAUCUUCGCUGGCCAUAAGUGAUGCUAUGAGCUUCGCACCUGCUAUCCUUUCCUGUUGAACAUUAAAAAUGCAUAAACAUAAUACGACAUUUUCUCACACUUUAUGAGAAAUAAUACGGCUACACUCAAAUUCGAAAGAAAGCCAUAUCGGCUUUAUACUUGUCCACUUUAUACCAAGCUGUCAUCCAUUGCCUUUCUACCAACAUUUUGAUUGCCAUAAUUCUAUUGGUUACCUUCCUUUUAAUUUCAAUAAAUAUUUUCCACACUAAUAAAAAUAAAUAAAUAGUCUGUGUUUUACACUAUUGCACUACAUGCAUAGAAACAAAAUUAAAAUAAACUUCAGAUUGAAAUUUAAUGCGACUUUAUUUUGCGUCAAUUCAAAGAGGAUACUGUUGAAAUUAUGGGGUUUCAUAAAGUAGUGAGGGCAAAGGACAAAAGAGAGAGUGGUCUUUGAAUUCAUGACUUUAUUCAAUAAUGUGUCUUCCAAUUCAAUCAUAAGAAAUAAAGCUGAAACCCUUACUUACAUAAAGACUAAACCGUAACCUAAAUUAAACAAGGACAAAUCAUGAGAUAAAAAUAGGGAAUCUAUUCGUAAUUGAUAAUCUAAACAACUCAAACACCAUACUAAAACUGUGUUUCACACAAAAAAAAUUUUACGAAAUUGGAUUAAGAGGACUAUAUCUAUAUUAAUUUUUAUAAUUUGGGAACCAAAUUGUAUCAAAGUUUAAAAUGAUGAAUUCUAAUUUCAUGUCAAAGUUUAGAAAAAAAAAACAUAUUUAAUCCUAAAAUAUUGAUUCUAAUAUGUUUCAUUAUUUCAGCUAUAUGCUUACAGGUAUGACAGUCUAAUAAAAUUACAAUGGUGAGUGGGUGAUACAAUUUACCUGUGAAGCUUGCUAUAAAUAUUUGACAACAUUCAAAACGCCCACAAAAAAAAACACAACCAUAAAUUUUUAUUGUCAAAUGUUAUGGUACCAAAGUCGAUAAAAUUCUUUCUAAAUGACCUAGUAAUUAGUUUCAAUAUGGUCAAUACACCAACAAUAUGGUCAAUACACCAAACCCAAGAUGCAGGAAGUAGAUAGAUAAGAACUUGUGUAAAACUAUUUAUUCUGAUAAAUUUACAUAUAUGAUAACAUUGAUUAUCAAAAGAACAUAUGGAGCAUUAUUAAUGGUGAAUGACAAAGGUAAUUUACCUUGUCUGACUCCUUCCUUAGGGCUUUUAGGGCAAUUCUGAGAAGGUCAGAUGCAUAGGGAAGAAUUGCAGAUCUUAGAUGAUAGACCGCUGAAAAUAGAACCUGGGUGCAUGCUGCUCUAAUCUCUGACUUCGUUUCAAACUGUUAGCCAAAUAUAGUUAGUUUCAUAACUAAUCAAGAUUGUUGAAGUUUCAAAAACUAAAACUCUAGUAAACGAGUAUUAUCAGGCAAUUGUGAUCUUAAUAUGCACUGUUACCUCAAGAGAUUGAAGGAGAAAAGGAAUAACUUGUGCUGCAAAGGGCUUCUUGCAAGAUUCAGGUAUCUUCUGGCAAGUGCUAAUGAGAACAUUACCCAUACACAAACGAAAAGAGAGAGAAACUGAAGCAGGAACAAAUUCUGAGUUUUCAUCCCCAAACUCAGGAGUUGAAGUUCGUUCAUUCUUGUAGUUAAAGAACUGAUUGAUCACAUAGCUGACAACAGACUUCCCUGCAGCAGAAGACUCAAAAGAACUGAGAUGAAGUCACAUUCAACUAACCUGAAGCAUAAAGCUUAAAAUUCACUAAAACACAUCAAUAAUACCUUCUUUUCCAAUGGCCCUAAUUUUGCCAGGCAUGGAAGUGAUUGAUUCCUUAGCUUGUAGUUCAGCACAUAUCAUUAGUGCCAGACAAUCAAUGCAUCCGUGUUGUGCUUUAGAAACUGAGAGAAAACGUAAUGCUCAUCACAAUUAGAUUUGGUUCAAAUAAAAUUGAAAGAAACUUAGAAAUAAAAUUCUUACAAACCUGAAUCAGCGUUCAGACAAGGCCAUAACAAUACAGUUUCAAUCAUCUCUCUAAUUGCAUACAUUGAACGAUGAGAAAGUGUCUCCCAUCCUCUGACCUGUAAAUCCAAAAAAGGCACCUUAUUGCCAACCAAAUUGAUGCAGAAAAUGCCAGAAACUGAAACAAACUAGUAAAAAGUACCAAACAAUCUAAAUAAUGAUGGGGGGAAAUAUUUACCACAAGUGAUGUGCAGAUUGAAAAUAAACAGGCCUUUAUCUUCAGUAUAUUCUUAGAGGCAACAGCUCCGUCUAAUAGGGAGCUAACAAAUGGGAGCAGAACCUAAAAAAUCAGAAAGCAUAGAAAGGUUGAAGUGACACUUUAAUAAAUAUAAACUGCCAAUAGGUAACAACUAAUAAGGUUUACUGUGGUGCCAGAUUCAGAUUGGAUGUCAGUCAUAAAGAGAAACAAGGAUUAUUAUAAGAAUCUGUAUUCGAUUAUUGUAAACUGGCAGAGCUAAGAACUCCAUCAAAACAAAAAUGAUAAUAGUAUUGAAGAAUUGCAUCUAAAACUCAAUCAUGUUGUAAAGUAGAACAGGUGUAAGUAGUUCAAGUUAGGUCGAGUUUAAUCUAAUUUUCAACCAACUCAGUUAAAUUUAAUUGGGUUGGGUUUGCUCUUUUUAUUUAACAUCUCAAUUCGACUAUAAUUGGGUCAGUUCAGGUCAUUGGUUGAAUGAUUUAAAAAAAUUAUCAACUUUUAAGAAAUAUCACAACAUAAAUAUUUUCAAUGUUUCUUAAUAUUUAUAAGGCAUAAACAAUAUUUAUAACAAAUUUAUAAAUAAUAUUCAUAUUAUAAAAUCAUUUUUGUAGUAAAUUAAUAGGACAAAUAAUAUUUUUAUUACAUAUUUAUGUAGUUGGAUUAGGUCGGGUUUAUCAGGUUUGGAAUUCGAACCCCUUACCCAACUCAACCAAUUCUAAUUGGGUGCACAAAAGCGUCCAAAUCCAACCCAACCCACAAAAAUGGAAUUGGAUUGGGUUAGAAAGGUUUACAGGUUAGGUGCAACCGGCUUACACCCAAAUAAUGUAGUAUACAACACAAUAUAAAGAAAAACUCAAACUGAAAUGUAAAUGAAACCAAGGUUGUUCUCGUGGAUGUCUUUCCUGUAAAAUUCCAGGGUAGAGGGGGAUUGGGAAGAGAACAUUACUUGUGGAUGAAUGCGUCCACACAACUCAGCAGAGAGCUUCCGAACAUCUUCAAAUUCAAACUCACAAAAAGCCCUGAAAGAAAUGAAUAAAUGACAUACGCAUCAGGCUCCUGUAAUGUUUAGUUGAAGGAGACAAAGGCUAUGUUCUUCAAGGACCAACCUGUUUAGAAGGAAACCAGCGAUACAAUCACAAUCAAUAUCAGUGUUCCUGUUUGCUGUAUCUACCUCGCAAGGAAGAAAUAUACACAGUUUGUAAUAACUUAGAAGAAAAACUCAAUGAAUUAAAUGAAAAAUGAUACAAUGUCUGGUCUGACAAACAUAGUAGUUAAUGUAAAAGCAGAGUCCAUAUAUAAGAAGGAAUCACAUAGUAGUUAAGUUUUGCAUCCAACUUUUGGAAACAUUAAAAAACCACAGUAAUCUCAAUUCAAUGGGCUCGGCAACCAAAUUCUAGAUGUGCCUUAGUCUUGAACAAAUAGAAACAGGAACAAAACCUGAUUCCAUGAGCUUUAAAUUUGCCCAUCAGAAGAUUAGAUAAACAGGUUUUAAUACCAGGUAAACAGACUGGGUAACAGUUAACAAAAGAAAAAAUAAUGAAAAAGUAAACCACUAAAAGAGAAGAUCUGCAUGUGGAAUAAAAAAAGGUCGCAGACUCUAUAAAUCCUUGACAUGCGAACAAUAAUUGGGCAACGGUAGAAUCAAUAUAGCCAUCAAGAUAAUCAGGCAGGCAGAUACAAGGCAGAAAUAUAUACCCUGGAUAAUGUUUUUACUGAGAUGCCCAUACAUAAUUGAUGAAUUGAGGUCGUUGAAAGUUUUCAAGGGAAGAACUUUAAUUAUGAGCAAAGGGCAAAGACGAUCAAAAAGAGAUCGCUGCAUUUCUUCAAACUCUUCACUUGUGUAGGUUCUUUGCUCCCAUCUUGAUAUGAAACUUUCACCAAUCCUGCAGCAGAAUUGAAAAUGUAUCACGAAAGAAAUUAUCACCAACAAAUUAAAUAAUUGCACAAGUCUUUGUGCCACAUUACAUUUAGUGAUUACACAUCCAUUGUCAAUGCAUUUAGUCUACACUAGAAUUUUCCCACUUUUGAGACAAUUAUAUAGACAGAUUCACUGUGAUGACAGAAUAUAAGGACAAAAAGAUUUUAAUAUUAUAAUAAUCCAAAUGAAGACACGGUAUGAUAUUAUGAAUGAGAUUAGCAUGUCCCAUUUGACUCAAAUAAACACUUUUUACACACUGGAAAUAUUGUAUAUGACCAUGAAAAAUCUCGUAUAACCAUUACACACUACAAUCAUAUUAGAAAGAAACUGAAGCAGAAAUAAAACUUUGAUCACUUGGCCAAGAAUAAUGCAUAUAUUGUGCACUUCAUACGGAUAAGUGACGAAUAGAAAAGCCAAGGGGCAACAUUCGUAUGAGAAAAGAAAACCAACCAUAAAUUAUUAGUCAUCAUAAACUUGACAGAUAUCCCAAAACAAACAAAAAAAAAAUGCAAUACAACCAGGACAAAUAUAUCAGUAGAAAGGACCGUUUCUCAAAAGUUAGAAGUAACCUCAAUUUCAUUUAUGUUUCGAAAAUCAUAAUUGCCAGAACUAUGAAUUUCAUAGAUUUAAAACACUGUUUUUCCUUGAAUUACAAUAGAACAAAUGUAGACAUUCCAAACAACAAAGUAAUGUCAAGCCACUGUAAAGUCCGGUGCUGUAAUUACAUAAAUUGUGUUUGAAGAGAGAUGGAAAGAAUUACUAAUGCGUCCAAAUUUACCAAAGAAAAACCAUUAUGAUAAAUCAAAACCAACCAUAAAAUAAGAGCAUAAUUCUUCAUUAUCUUUUCAUGCAUUAACAGCUUGGCUAAUAAGAUCAGAAAAAAUAAUGGAUUCCUUGAGUCUUCGACUUCUAUAACACACCAGCCAACCAAGCAACAUUCCCCACUGAGACCAUGCCUUUCAGCUCAAUAAAGUAGAGCACAAUUCAAAUAUCUUCUUUGAACUCUCAAUUAAUGUGGAAUGCAUCAGGUUAUCAUCCAUUGGAUUUAAAAGUUCUUAUGAUAUGAAUUUUCAUUGUAUCCAGUAUUUGUCACAAGCACACGGGUCUUUGGUUCUACAGUUAAAGCUCUUGAGAUCAAAAUUAUAAAAAAGGGGAAAACAUAACAGCUAUAAUAUUUGGUUUAAGGAUCAAAGAUAACAUUUGAUAUUUAAAACAUUGUACUUCAUAUACUCACUGCUUCUGGUCUCUAACAUGCAACAUAACAUGAUGCAAUACAAGAUCAGCAACAGUUGCCAAAUUUUCGCUUAUAUAACUCAAGAAUUUGACAAUAGUUGCAUUUGAUGGAUUUGCAAACAUCUUGUCAACCAGUGGUCCAAUUAAAAAGUUCCAGUCUUGAACCUGAUAAUAUUGGAAAUAACAAAUUAGAAUACUUUUGUUAGUGUUGAUUCCUGUACUGAAAAUACAUUUAUUGGGGUAUAUUUUUUAAUUGAUAACAGUAAACCAACAUAUUUACAUAAAAUGUAAGUGUACAUGGUUAAGCCACAGGUGAACAUGUGAAGGGAAACAGAUAUACCAAAGGAAGUAAGCAGUCAUCGUCAAUUAAAAAAAAAAACGGCCAAACCUCAACUCUUCAAGAACUGAGCUUAGUUAGAGUAAGAAAGACAAUGGUAGCCCUGUACCCAAUAACUUAAACUUUGGCUUGCUUUGGUUCUUAACACGGGCAAGAGCAACUUCUACCAAAUAGUAAGAGUUUCGUUGUAGCCUCCCCAAAUCAUCAUAGAAUUUAACUUUAACCAGGUCAUGAGGGCUAGUACUAUGUCAUUGUCCAUCAUUGAGAACAGGGGGUUUCCACAUAAGGGAGAAGAUUAGAGAUAAACAAUCACUCUUAGGAAUACAGACAUUGCUUUUAGGAUUAUUUGGGUUCCAGUAGCACAUCAAUUCAGAAAUUAGCAGUCUUUAAAUGUUGAAAUAAUCUAUUACUAUUUAUCACAAAUAUUAAGUCUUAAAAAGUCUACAGUUACCAUCCCAUUAACGAACUUGACCUACGUAAAAAUUACAUCAGUCAUUUAUUUCCAUUUUCUUGAUCAUAUUUCUACAUUGAAAAAAAAAGCAAUUUCCACAUUGAAAAAAAAAAAAAACAAAAGGGGAGAGAAAGCAAAAUAGGUAAUGGCCGUAAGUUAUAAUUGUUUAUCGGAAUGCAGGACAUGCACUCUACAAAGGUAUAUAGUUGCAGUCAUUGAUUGGAAAGUCAAUGGUUGUAAUUGUGAUAGAAUACAUAUGCAUGACAAAUGAUGUAGUUAAAAUAUCAGUGGUUAAUUUUCCUAUCAACAGUUAUAACUCAAUGCAUUUACUCUGAACUUUAGAGUGAACCAAAUCCUACAGCCAUACAUAAUUGCUCAAUCUACCAUCUUACACUUUUAGACCAUAUUGGAACCAGUUUGAGUAGUCGGUCAGUAUCCAACUUUGACCCUGACACCAGAUAAAAAAAAAAAUGAGAACAUAAUAAAUGCAGUAUUUUUAUGGUAAAACGGAUGUGGAUAAACAAGAAACAGAUAUUACAAACUGUUCAAUAUUUACAGUCAGUGGUGAACAAGGAAAAGUAUAAGAAAUUAUCACAAUUUGAAGUGGACCCUAUAAUGUAGUUAUGUACAUGUACUUUGAUGUGCAUCUUGAAAAUAUAACACAUUAAAGUGAUAUGUAGUUAUGCAUAUUAGAAUUAUGCAUCCUUAUAUUAUAUGCCAGUGAAAAUCAGCUAGCACUAUUAAGAAUUUGGUGAUCUUACACUAUUGUUUCAACAGCAGAAUGUGAUUUUCAUAUUUACAGUGUCUGGAUAGUGCAUGAUCUUGAACAAUUUCAAAGGAAGCGGCCAUUACUUUCCAUAUUAAACUGUGUUAGAAAACAUGAUGAACUUUAGUUUUAGGAGAUAUGGAUGUGAAAUAGCUGAUUGAAAUUGGUACGGAAUUUUACCAACAAAAUUAUCCACAAUUCUAUGUUAUCAAACUUUCAGGAAACUUUCAUGAGAAAUGCCACUUGAGAAGUUGUUAAACAACUUAAAACUAGUCCACUAAUAGUAUUACACAUGAGCCAAUAAAUGCUCAUCCUAUAUUGGAUAAAGGUUGAUAUAAAAUACAGAACUAUGCAAUGAAAUUUCAAACAGUGAUGGAAGUAGGGCAAAAUAGUACCUUCAUCUCCAUUGGACUGUGGAAGGUCUAGGCUUAUACUGGUAUUGCUACAAGGAUAAGAAGGCAAAAUUUUAGCCAUUAGUGAUAUCUUCACCUAUAAAAAAUUCUUAGAUUUUGAACUCCAACUCUAGAAACAGUUUCUAUAAGUUGAGCUCCAAAACUUAGAGGCCGAGUAGAAGGCGCAAAGAAAAGGAAACCUACCUAAGACAGUCAAGAAACAAGAAUAUGACUUCAAUUCUCUGGUUGUGAUGUUUGAGGACCUCAAUGAUGGAAUCACUAGCAAUUGAUUGUCUCUCAUCUGAAGAGUAGACAAGACCAACCAGUGCAGGCAAGUACAAUGAAGGGUCUGCAAAAGUAAUUCACCAAUAAAAAUUGUCACACGCAUUUGUAAACUUUUUGUGACAAGAUAUUUUCUAGAUCACUGUAACGCAUAUGGAAAUACUGUGAAAACAUUAUGGCUUAAAAAAAUACGUAACUCAUUAAAGGAGAGGAGCACAACAAAUAAAGACAAUGAAGGAAUCAUUUCAAAGAGAAAAAAAGUAUAGGAAAUACAAAGAAGCCACCUAUAUGUUUAAGCUAUUAGAUGCAAGCUUAUAAAUUGCUUUAAUCACACAUCUUAAACACACCUUGUAACCUCCUGAUAUUAAACUCUAUAGACUUUAUGUGAGAAUAAAACAUAGCCACCAAUAGUUUUUGCUUUAAAUUAAAAUUAAAAACCAAAAAGGUGGUGCUUAACAAUUGGGAAAAGAAGGUUCAGCACCACAUCAAGAGCCAAUCAUCCAUAAGACUCCAGCCAAUACAAGACCCGCUAAUACAUGCCAAUUUAUAUAAGAAUCUGUAAAAAAAAGUUACACUUUACAUUUCCGUUUUAAUGCUAACCUAUCAUUGGAAGUAAUUUGGAUGCCUGUUCACGAAUCAUAAUUUCUUCAUCUCCAAGCCGCUCUAGCAAUUUGUUAGCUAUAUCUUGCCUAAAAUACACAUUUCAACAAAUAAAUAUAUAACAAUUAAAAUCCGGAAAACAACAUAAGCAGUCAUACCUAGCAGAACAAGACAUUAAACUUUGUGAUUCCGAUGAUAUAUGUAGGACUUCUGAUAUAACAUCCAUAGCAUUUCUUCUCUGGGAAAUGUUUCCAGAAGAAAGGCGCUUCAGAACUUCCAUAAGACAGUGAUCAUCUUUCCUCCUGGAGAAUCCUUAUAUAUAUAAGUUCUAACUUUAAAAGAAGAGAUUUUAUACUUAAAAAGUGUUUUUAGUCAGUAUCAUAAGAGAAAGAAUAAAAUGACUACAUUGAGCAGUAUUCUCCUAUCAACAUAACAACAGCUCUAGCUGUACCAUCCCGCUCAUCUAAAAGGUGUAGCAAAAAAGGAAUCACACUAUUUGCCUUCCUACUGUCAGGAGGUGCAUCUUCUUGUGAGUAAUCUGGCCUCAGAAUGAUAGCCUUGAAUAUUGAAACAACUCCAGCUAUCACAUCCUCAUCAGUGCAAUUAAGCUACAGAAAAAAAAAGAAAAAAAAGGAAAGGUAUAAAAGCUCAAUUUUCAAACUGGAAAGGAAAUCUAGACACAAAUUACCAAAUCAGUUUAAUUAAUCAUUGACUUCUAAAUACAUCAUAGCUAAAGAAUAUGUCGCUAAUAAGCAAUGCACAAACUAUAGUUCUAUGACAAUAUGCAGCAUAAGCAAGGUUACACAUAACAGAUGGCAAUGUUUGUAUCAAAUAUGUGAACUUAAAGUUGUAAAAUAUCAAGUACAUCUGGACUCAGUUUGUAAAAUUAAAAACAGUACUCUGCCUUGACAGUGCAUCAUAGGUAAACAAACAAUGUUAAUUAACUAUGGAACGGUUAGAAAAACAAAUGUCAGAUUCAACUGACAGUUACUGCUGAAAAUAACAGCAUUGAUCUUUCUAUCAGAUGAAAGGACAUUAUUACUGCAUUCAAGGCAGUGCAAAAACCACAUCAACAUGUCAUUCAAGUUCAGAACUAAGAAAGGGCUAUAAUAAAAAUACUAAUAGAUGGUAUCCUUGUUCACUUUCUAAUCAUAAAAUUGAGUGUUAAACCUGAUCCAUGCAAGGGAAAAAAAAUUGAUUUUGAAGGACAACGAAUAUAACACAUUCAUUUGCAUGAUUAAAUGGCGUGUAACACUUUUGUUUAAAAAUAUGUCUGCAAUAUAUUUCCCCAAGAAGACCUCAAUUAGAGGUACCUGUGGUACUAGAAUGCGUGAGAUAUUCAUCCCAAACUCCGACACUGUGCUUUCAAAUCUCUUGAUAUCCAGCCGUCCCAAAAGCAGGCAUAAACAAUUCAAAAAGAACUUUCUGGUCUCCAACCCACCAUCAUUGUUGUCAAUAUAGCCACCACCUGUGUGGUUGUCCAUAUAAUACUGCAAUUUGCAUGGAAAUCAGAAAAACAAUUUCAGCAUGCAAAAUCAUAUGAAACCAGAAAUAAUUGAGUUAUCAUGUCAUCAUAUCAAAUAUAUUAUCACCUACUAACCUAUUUCUGAUUAAUUUGAAUUGAUGUAUCUCUAGUCAGUAACAGUUACAAACUCACCAUCAGAUAUGCUCAAAUCUAAGUAAAACGCACCACAAAUCUGGUGGUGAAUAGAGAUAUCGUUGAGUAUAUUUUACAGAGGUAACAUGAGACUGUCGCUUCACAAAGUGCUAAAUAAACCGUAUGCCACAAACACUCUUACUUACCACAAGACUGCCAAAAAUUGCACACGAGACACUAUAUCAAAGGCAAAUUCCCUUUUAUAUAUGUCGUAAAUAAAUUAAAGCCUAAACAUCUAUACAAUAUGAUGAGGUCAGUCAGCAUAUAUUUUUCUUAGCACAAGUGCUAAAACAAGAACAAUUUAUCACCCUCCGCAACAUCAAAUAGAGACACCUUGCCAUCCAUAUCAACUGGGACAUAAGGUAGUUGCUCAAAUUACUUCAAGACAUCAUUAUAAAUUUAUAGCUACUCUGUACUGUAUAUAACCUGGAUGCCAGACAUAUACUGGUCCAACAGUUCCUUGUAAUGCUGCGAGAAUUUCUUAUCUUCCAGGUGCAGUAGCACGCUAUAAUGCUUCCAGCAAGAACAGAGCAGUAAAUCUCCAGUCUUGAGAGCAUUAGAAUCAGUCUUCAAUGCUGCAGACAAAAAGAAAAAUUAUGGUCCAUAGAAAACUAGUAACUGAUUGAAUUGAAUAUCAAAUAGACAAAAAAAAAAAAAAAAAAAAAAAAAACGCAUUGAUUCCAGAACCUGCCUCUAGUUGAAAGGAUCCAUGGUGAUUCUUUAUCUCCUGCAGCCAUUUAAGAACUUGCUCCAAGCCUUUGGCAUGUAAAAAACGACUUUUCCUGCUCCACUGUAAUGUAGAGUUGAACAUUAAACAACUGAAUAAGUUCAGUGCAAAGUUCAACAGAAAGCAACAGGAAGAAGUUACAGCUUGGGCCAUCUUUUUACAUUCUUGUUACAUAUGCAUGCUCAUAUCAGUAAUUUUGUAUGCCAGUUAGAAUUCAGUUACAAGUUUGUGGCUGAUUAUACUUUCUGCAGAAGCAAAUGAGUUCCCAUCAAUAAAUUGAAGAUAGUUUUUACAUUAGUUGCCCCUCUGAAAAGGAACAUUGAAAAAGGGUUAAUCAUGAACCUAAAAUCAGGACAGGUUUUGUUUACCAAAUUCAAUGUAACAGGAAAUGUUGCCGUAGCUGACCAUCUAAAAGUCUUAUUCACACUGUAGUUAAAUAAUGCCAUCACUUUCUAAUGUUUGCUUAUUCAAUAUGAUUUUCCUUAUAGUAUAUCACAGUUGCAUGUUAUGAAUAUAUCAAUCAAAGAAUUAAGAACAAAGACUGCAUAACUUACAGAAAGGAGUCUUCGAACCAAACAAAUAAUGUCAUCUAAAUGAUGCCACAGAGUAAAGUCUCUUUCGAUCAUUGACAUCAAAAAUUUUGAAUCCAAUUUCUCCUUCUUGUCAGUAGUAGGAGAAUGGACAAAAGUAAUUGCCUGAUCUUUUGCUCUAGCAUUUAAUUUCAACUUUUUAUUGUCUGCCAUUUUUGUUAAUGCUCCCGAAAGGGACAAAAAACAAUCAGCCGCAGACACUCCAAGGCGAGAUGGCAACUCAAAACCAUCCUGCAAAGUGCUGAAAAGCCAGUGUUCAGAUAAUGAAAAUUUGAGGAAUAAUCACCGAAUUAAUAAAAGAGCAUUAUAAUGAUACCACCCAAAAAAAGAGCAAAUGGGAGAGAUACGGAGUUGGCAUUAUUGGUAAAAUAAAUGGGUAAAAUGCUACAACAAGAAACAUGAAAAGGUGAAUUUAUGAAGAGGAGCAGCUGUGCACAAGUGAGACUUAUCAUCGAACACAUUUAUAAUCAAUCAAACGCCUCUAGCCAACAAUGGUAGCUCCUGACCGUAUCAGGACUCAUGCCUAUAAAAAGAGCGGGGUAUUUAGAUGAAUGUUUGAAUAUACAAUGUAAGACAUAUAUAUACGUUUACAUAACAGACAAUAAUAUAAAAGACAAUUAUUUUGAUAACUACACUAGUCCAAUGCUGAAUGCACACGGGAAAAAUCUACCACUAAACAACAUGAACAGCCGUUUACAUUACACUUUGAAACAAGAGAUGCAUGAGAAACAACAAUACCUUCCUUUAUUAACAAUACUGGCCAAAUCCGGAAGACAAGAGGAGAGUAUCUUCAACAAAUCUCCAUACCUCUCCCGUAUCCCUAACAAACACAAGUUAAUUAAUUAAUCCAAAAGAAUUGAAAAUAAAAAGGUUUCCUAUUUCCAAAUAUGUUCUCUGUCAAUACUUGAGUUGAAAUAGAGAGAGUGAAAACUAGAAACUCACCACUAAACAUGGAUUGAUGAGCGGAAUUUUCAAAUUCAACUAGAUUCCGAAGAAGGAGGCACCAACCAAGCAACAAGUAGCGAUCGUGCACGUGCUUUCUGGCAACGACGCCAGCGAGAGCCUCGGCAACGGGUUGGAAAAGAAGCUCGUCCUGGAAGAGCCAGUUCAACAGAAUCAUAGCUUGGUUACCGUGCUUGGACUUUAACACCUGGAAACACGAAAAACACAUCGUAACGAAGAGAAAGCAGAAUCCGAAAUAAACAAAUUGAGGAGGAGAAAAUGCAUACGCUGUCGAUGAUUGGAAGAAGGACUUGGUCGAGGGAAGAAUUAUUGGUCGCAGCGUCGGCAACGUAGCUGUGGAAAAACCAGAGAGAGUCUUCGAGGGAAACGAGUGAAGUGUGCGAGCGCGAAGAAUGUGAGGAGAGGUGAGAAAUAGAGUCGUGAAGCUUCUUUGGACGGGAAGUGAGAAGAGAAGUGAUGGCACGUGCGAGCGUGAUGGAGACGAUGGACUCGCGUUGUGGCUCCGAUUUCCACAGCAACUCUUCUUCUCCCUCCAUUCUUCUCUAUGCCUACUACCUUGGUGUCAAGUUUACACUUAUUCAACUGAACCAGACGACGUCAAUGAAUUGAAUGUCAUGUCAGUUUUUGUUUAUUGUUUUCAUAUUUGGGCCUAAUGUAGGCCCAAAAGGAAAAUAAGAUGUGACGCAGCGUGUUGGUUCCGUUUCACUGCUGUCUGUAAUGCUCCCUCCGCAGAGUGACUGCAGAGACAUUUGCAAGGUGCUGGUGUGUCUAACACAUUCAAGGUUACUCCCCAAGGGUCUUCAACUCCAUGCAUACGUCAUCAAAUUAGGGUUUGAAGCUCUUCCAUUGGUGUGCCAUCAUUUGAUCAACUUCUACUCCAAAACUAACCUUCCUCACUCCUCGCACAAACUCUUCGAUUCCUUUCCCCACAAGUCCGCCACCACAUGGAGCUCCGUCAUUUCCGCCUUCGCCCAGAACGACCUCCCCCACCUCGCCCUCCGCUUCUUCCGUCGCAUGCUCCGCCACGGCCUCCUUCCCGACGACCACACCCUCCCCACCGCCACAAAGUCCUGCGCCGCCCUCUCGUCCCUCCCCACCGCCAACUCCCUCCACGCGCUCGCCCUAAAAAGCGCCAACCACUUCGACGUGUUCGUUGGAAGCUCCCUCGUCGAUAUGUACGCUAAAUGCGGCGAAAUAAACAACGCGCGCAAGGUGUUCGACGAAAUGCCUCAUAAAAACGUUGUUUCCUGGAGCGGCCUGAUAUAUGGAUACUCCCAAUUGGGUCUCGAUGAGGAGGCUUUGAACCUCUUUAAAUGUGCUUUGCAGCAGGAUUAUGAUAUUCGAGUUAAUGAUUUUACAUUGUCUAGUGUUUUGAGGGUUUGUAGUGCUUCCACUUUGUUUGAGUUGGGCAAGCAAGUGCAUGGAUUGUGCUUUAAGACGAGUUUUGAUUCGUCCUGCUUUGUGGCUAGUUCAUUGAUCUCGUUGUACUCCAAGUGUGGAGUUGUGGAAGGGGGUUACAAAGUUUUUGAGGAGGUGAAGGUUAGGAACCUUGGCAUGUGGAAUGCGAUGUUGAUUGCGUGUGCUCAGCAUGCUCACACGGGGAAAACUUUUGAGCUGUUUGAAGAGAUGGGGAGUGUCGGGGUGAAGCCGAAUUUCAUCACGUUCUUGUGUCUGCUUUAUGCGUGCAGCCAUGCGGGGUUGGUGGAGAGGGGGAAGCAUUACUUUGGGUUGAUGAAGGAGCAUGGGAUUGAACCCGGAUCGCAGCAUUAUGCAACCAUGGUCGAUUUGCUUGGUCGUGCUGGGAAGUUGGAUGAAGCGUUUCGGGUGAUUGAGGGCAUGCCUAUGGAGCCAACGGAAUCUGUUUGGGGGGCUUUGUUGACUGGGUGCAGGCUUCAUGGGAACACUGAAUGGGCUUCAUUUGUGGCUGAUAGGAUUUUUGAGAUGGGUGCUGUAAGUUCUGGGAUUAAUGUCUUGCUUUCUAAUGCUUAUGCUGCUGCUGGGAGAUGGGAGGAGGCGGCGAGAGCGAGAAAAAUGCUGAGGGAUCAGGGAAUAAAGAAAGAAACUGGUUUGAGUUGGGUGGAGGAGGGUAACAGGGUUCAUACAUUUGCUGCUGGGGAUAGGUCUCAUGGGAAGACCAAGGAAAUUUAUGAGAAGUUGGAGGAGCUGGGAGAGAAAAUUGCGAAAGCUGGGUAUGUUGCAGACACGUCUUUCGUGUUAAAAGAAGUGGACGGAGAUGAGAAGAGUCAAACUAUAAGGUAUCACAGUGAAAGGUUGGCCAUAGCGUUUGGACUUAUUACUUUUCCUCAGGAGCGACCUAUCAGAGUGAUGAAGAACUUGCGUGUUUGUGGUGAUUGCCACACUGCCAUCAAGUUUAUUAGCAAAUGUACCGGAAGGGUAAUCAUUGUGAGGGAUAAUAACCGGUUCCAUCGAUUUGAGGAGGGAAAAUGCACAUGCGGAGAUUAUUGGUGAUGAUGGCAAGGUGAUGAAUGACAUGAGAGUCACUGAACAAAUCAAAUCAUUUUCAGUGGUAGAGGAGGAACAGAGUAGCAUCAACUCUCAACUUGUCUUUUGCUAUCUCGCCGCAUAUAGAUCGUGGUAAUUUUGAAUCUUUUCGACAUUUAUUUGUCUUUUUGCCGUUGCAUAUAACGUGAUGGGAGGGAAAAGGGAAGCCUAUAUAGUGCUGUACUCAUACCCCACGAAGAACUCCAAAAGCAAUUUGAAUACCAUUCUUGAGACUAUCAAUUGUUUCAUUUACAAAACCUAGUGUGCUAUAUGACAACCUAAUUUGCACUUUUGUAGAUGUUCCAGGGUAUGGCAACCUUCAAAUAUAAAGACAUAGAUAAGAUGCGUGAAUGUGAGAAGUAGCAGUUUUGAUGGCGCUUCUGAUUACUCAGUUGACUUCUCCAUACCAUUGUCAUAGUAUAUCCGUAAGUUUUGAUUGAGGUUGGAACAUCAAUGACAUGCCAGCCAAGUCGCAAGUUUAAAUUGUCAUGGCCGGCAAGUUUUUAUGAUGCUCCUCUGCCAACGUUGACCUCUGUCGAUAUCUGUGAUCUGAGUUUUUUUCUUGCUCGUCUUAAUGCUUUGGCCUGAGAUAUAGAGUGGUUAUAUAGUUAAUGAUAUAGGGAUUUUAGUUUCAGCAUAUUGUGUGUUGUGUGUUCAUCUAAAGUGUAGGGCAUAGCUAUGUUUAGCUGCUCUAAUAAGGAUUAUGUAUCGGAUCUGACAUCUCCUUUAAUGUCUGUUUGACAAUAUCAAGUAGCUCGAGUGCUAAUAAAAUUGAUUAAAGUCUGUCUCACUAGACAAGUUGGUCCAGAAACAUAUAACACUUCAAGAAGAAAAAAAAGAGUUUAAUCAAUAUAAAAUCAUAUAUAAAAUUAUAUAUAAAAGAUUACUAACUUAUUUAACCUUUUUAAAAUAUAUCAUAUUUUAAUUGACAAAAAUAUUUUCAUAUAUUAUGAAUUUUUAAUUUUAAAAUUAAAAAUAUUUAAAUAAUUUCUAAUUUUUUUACUUUUUAUUUUAAAUUAAAAAUUAAAAUUAUUAAAAUAUUUAUGUAUUUUAAAUUUUUUUUUAUAAAUAGAAAUAUUUUGUCAACUAAAAUUUAAUAUACACUAAAGAUUACAUAAGUAAGUUAGUAAAUUUAUAUAUACUCCCGUAUCAUGGAAGGCGUGUACAGCAUAGAAAAAAUUACAUUUUAAUUUUGUAUAUAAUAGGUUUAAUUUUUAUUACAACAUCCAAAGGAAUUUAAAUUUCCAUUUUUCUUAUGUGAGCAUUGGAAUCUUAUGGUUAUGAGAUUUGUAACAACAAACAAAAAAAACAUUUACUGGCAUUAUUCUAUAGCCCAAAAGACGAUUGUGUCAGAUGCGGCUUCAGAAUAUUUACAUGUACCUGGUUGUAUGAUACAAUUUUAGUAUGUCAAAGAUUAAAGAAGAGUAAUAUACAAUAAUAAAUUACGAAAAAGAUUUGUUAUGUCUAUAUUCUCUUUGGUUUUACAUGGAUUUAAAAAUAAAGUUAAAACUCAACUUUUCUUUUUAAUCUUAUUUUUGUUCGAGGAAAAGAUAUUUUUUGUCACAUUAAAAGCUAACUACUCAUUGCGCUAUAAACCAUAGAAACUUAAUUAGAGGGUUCGUACUUUUAAUUUAAUUUUCCGGAAAUAUAUAUUACGUUUACAAGGGUAAAAAUGGAAUUUUAAAAGAUAAUGGAGUGUAGGUAGAAAUUGACGGGCGCAGAAAGCAAUUUAUGAGUUCAUUGCAAUUGUCCCCAAAUAUGAAUUGACAGGGGAUUUAUAUUUUCUUUCUCUGAUUAUGAACUUGGAAAGUUAAAGUUUUUUAUGAUUCUAAAGAACAUAUAGUCAUCAAAGGAGACAGUUUGUGUUUUUCUAACAAGAUUUCAUGGGUAUUUAAUUCAUUUAUCUAUUUACUUGGUAUAAUUUUAGAUAUAAUUCACAAAUGACUUUUCUUUUUAAAAAUUUAAUUGAAAAUGGGUUUUUAAAUGUUUAAUUAUAAUUAAUACAUAUGUUUUUCCACAAAUUUAGCGCAUAAAUUAUCCUUUUACCUUAGUUUUCAUUUGGAAUUUAAUAGUGAACCUAAAAUAACUGAAAAUAUCUUUGCAAUAUAACAUGUAUAAUUAAAUUUGGUUAAACUGAAGUUAAUAAAAUAAACGAAGAUCAUAUAUUGGAACAAACUUAGACAUGUUUGGUAUUGGACAAUUUUUUUAUCCACAAUAUUUGAAAAUUAUGAAUCCAUUUCCAAUCAUGUUUAUAGUUUUCUAGAUAUAUAAAUUACUGAUUAUAUAUAGUUUUUCUCAAAUCUUUAAUUUGUUAAACAUUAAUACUUUACAAUAAAAUAAGUUUGAUUUUGGCAGGAAACAAAAACCAAACACUUUUAAGAUUUUCAGCCCAUGGGUUAUAAACAUAUGUUUUUAAACUCAAAUAUAAAUUAAAAAAAUGUUCAAAUUCAGCAAAUCGAAAUAUAAACAAGUUUUACCUAAUUAAAUCAUGAUUUAAUUAUUUCAAAAGUAUAUUCAAGGGGAUUGAAAUGCCAACAUCAUCUUCAAUAAAUCUGAUUAAAGAAAAUUUCAAAAAUAUAUAAUUCUUUCUUAUAUAAAAUUAAAUAAACUUAAACAUCACCUGAAUGCGAAUAUACUGACAAUAUAAACAAAAUUAUGCAACCAUCUAGCUAAGGAUUAUCAUUUAAAGUAAUUUUUGAUAGAAUAAAAUCUUAAAAUCACUUUUAAAACUUUAUUAAAAAAAAUCUCUUUAAUCCUCUACUCAAAAGGAAGAGAAAAAUGAUUGUUUUUUAAAAGCUUUAUCUUUUCUUGGCUGCGGCUUCUGUAACUUUUGGUUGAAAUGUUAACUUUUCCAUUAAAAGUUGUAUCAUUUGAUUAAGUAUCUUUUAACACACUUUGUUAACGUAAUUACGCCCGUAAUUUGCAGUACUAAAUGAGGGUUAUACCCUAUAUAUAACCUCGAGCAAAAAGGUGUCAUUCCUGUUCAUAGAGGUUCUUCCAGAGUUUUCCAUCUUAUCAACAUUUGUUUGAACACUUUGAAUAAAAGUUAAUAUAAAUUUUCCAGUGGUAGCAGUUCAGGAUUUCAUAUUUAUAUAUUUGAUUAUGUAUUAUAUUUUAUGGCAGGCCAAGAAACUUUUCAACCUCUCAAAUAGUUUUAUUCUUUGAAAAUUCCUUCACAUGUUUCUCAUACUGAGACUAUGUAUUUUCAGCUGAGUGAUCAAUCCAUGGUUUUGGCUGAAACCAAAGAAAUUAAGAGUCUUAUUCUGUGUCCACUCUAGAUAUGCAAACUGAGCUUUUCCACACACAGAAAAAUUGUGCUAGUGUUUUAGCUUGCACCCCUUAAAGAUGGUAUCAACCUCUAUCACAAGAACUCAAAUCAAGUGGCAGAAGCUUGAGGAAACGAAGCAGCAAAGAUCAAUGACAAGGCCACGUGAGCAUGCUACUGCUUCUUCUAGCUCCCAAGAACAAGGUUUUACGAAUGUUGAGGAAGAUGGUAGUGAAGGUGUUUGUUCAAGUGGCUGUGCUACACCAAAGGCUAAAAGGUUCAGAAUACCAGAGGUGUUAACAUGCCCACCUGCUCCAAAGAAGAGAAGGUCACUGGUAAUACCCAAUUGCUCAUCAAAUAGAUCUCCAGUAGCAUUUUUUGCUUCACCGGAUAUAGAGUUGUUCUUCUUUUCUGCACUCAGAAAUGUUUCAGCUUGAAGCUUCAAUCUAGUUCCAAGAAAGUAUGAAGUUCAGUUCAGUUGCUGACUGUCAAAAUAGCUGAUCCUUGGAAGAGACAAAGUUUGAGACUGUUUUGCAGUGUGCACUUACGUACUCUGAUUGUUCUUACUUAGGCAUGACUUUUUGUAUUUACGUACCUUUUUCUGGUUUUGGCUUUAGUUUUUCUGGCUAGUGUGUGGUGCAACAAAUCAAAAUUUCUAAGACUUGAAGCUCUUUCUGUGUGAAAUUGAUUUAUCAGUUAUCUAAAUUUGUCUCUACCUUUCCAAGGGUAUGGAAUUCCUGAAGGGCAUUCAGUUUGAAUUUGUAUCACAUAAACCAUUUGAUGGAGAAUUUGAUUGUCUUUGGCUUCAUCAGUGAAAUUUGUAUUAUUAUAAUGAGUAGACUGAUUAAAAGAUACUUUGCUCGGUGAAUAUGUGUCCAUGUAUAUGAUAUCUUUCUAAAGUUAAACCAGUCUAAUAAUAUUACUUUUCUUUUGCUAGUGCUAUCUCCACGCUAUAUAUAAAGAAAGCGGAGGAAAAAAAAGCAACUUUUGAAUGUGGAAGUGAAUGCUUUUGAUUUUGAAUAUUCCUUCAUCUGGUCCUUCUAUGCCUCUUUUCAUGCUUCUUUUUGUCAUCUCUACAACACUGAUAAAAGGCACUCUGUAGAAACCAGCCACAUUGUUUAAAUGAAGCAUUACUAGCUCAACAUCAACCUCAAUUAACAUAGAAACAUUUAAUUUCAGUGAAGUAAAAAUAUGGUAAUAAAGGUACAUUUGGAUUUUGUGAAGUUGGUGCCAAACUUGCAAUAACACACUCCACAGAUAAUGCAGAAACAAUGCAUGUUAUAGGAAGUGUAAAUCUGUCUUAUUAUAGAUAGGUAUAUAUGUUCUUUAUGCGGUUGUGCAUGAACUCAGAAGCGUCCAGUUUACUUUAUAUGAUUAAAGUUGCAGAUCUGUUAGAAAGAAUAAACCUGAGUGGUAAAUUAAAAUGUUGCCUAUCAUUAUCAUUGUCAUCCUUAUACCUUUGACAGUGCUGAAAAAAGAACAGAAAAUGGAAAUAAAAGUACGGCAUGUGCAGCAGCAAAAUGAGAAUCCAAAGAUGGAUUGCUUUGUGAUGGAAUAUCUAACCAAAAAGUGAAAUAGUGCACACAUGAUACUUGUUAAUUUUGAUUUAAUAGUUUUGAAUUGAAACAAUUCAAAACUUAGGUCAAUUCUAUUAACCAACAUACAAGUUUUGAGUUUGAGUGAAGUUUGGACUAUUGCAUCUGAAAAUCAAACAUGUCAAAUUCCUACAAGAAGUAGCAAAUAUAUAUUUUCAAUUACUAUUUAUUUUAUGACAAUAACUCAUAGAAAAGUUGCAUUGGAGGUGGCUGUUGCAUUGCAUUCACAAGUAAACCUACAAACAUGCAUGUAUUUUGUACAUAAUGAAGAAACAGAGAGCAGCAAGUAUAAGCAGAAUACAGAAGAUGGAAAACAAAGGAAAGGGAAAACAACUUCUGUGUAUUAUAUGAAUAUACAAAGAAGAGGAUAAAUAUAUAUGCAAUAAUAUUGUUCACUGUUUUACCAUAAUUCAUCUAAACUUGGAAGCAAGGUACUGGGUGAUGAACGACGUAAGUGACAUUAGGACUACCACAAGACACUUGGAAAAAAGUAACAGUUGGAAGUCCAAGCUCCAGAGAAAACUUCCUUUUGAUGGCACAACUUUUGUAAUAUUAUAUUAAAAUAAUAACAUCAUUUUGAAUUUAAAUUUUCAUACCAUCAUCCUUUUCUCUAAGUCUUUUCAAUAUGCAAACAACCAAACUAUAAACUUGAGACAAAACGGAAAAUGUCUAGUAUCAAAGAAAAAAAACAUUAAUUACAAGAUCAAAUGAAUAUUUUUUUAUCAGAUUUAAAAAUUCAAUUAUGUGCGACUUUUUUCAUUAAAUUUAAAAAUUUGAUUAAGAGUAAAUUUUAUUUUAUUAGAUUUUCAAAUUUAGUUAUAUGUGAAUUGUUUUAUCAGAUUUUAAAAUCAGGUUAAAUGUCAAUUUUUUUUUCAUUCAUUUUAAAAUACGGUUAAAUGUAAUUUUUUACCCAUUGAAUUUUGAAAUAUCAAUCUUUUAUUUAUCAAAUUUUGUAAUCUCCUUAUACAAAUUUUGGUGUUUGUUAUCCGAAUUUUGUAAUGUAGUCCUGAAUUUCAGGUGUGUCCCAAAUUUUAUACAUCUCAUGUAACACAUAUGAUAAUUAUUUAUUAUUUAAUAUAAUUUUGUAAGGAUAAAAUGGGAACUACAGCAAAAAGAUGGGGUGCAGGAAAAAGGCACUAAGUGGGGGUUGUUUAAGAAGUAACCCCACCCUGCACCAUAGCCCAAGUGUUUGUCUCUGUUUUUGCUUUUGCUGUUGGUACGAGAAAGAAAAGGAGAAUUGCGACGCGUGUGAACUAGGUUCCGUGAAGCUCCUUCCAUGCCACACAAAUCCUAAAAGGUACCAACUUGCACCACCAGACAACUGUGGGGCCAUCUCCUCUACUUCUAUUCUACCCUACCAACCUUCCCCCUUCAAACUUCAACCCAACCCCAAAAUAAAAACCUACACUUGUUCCCAUAAUAAUUAUCACAAUAAUAUGUGGAAAAAUAUUGACCUUGCAAUUCCAAACACUUCUAUACAACUUGCAAUGCCUUCGCCCAACUGAUCGACCUGUGACAGCCAUCUUAACCAAACACUUAAGCGACACAUCACCUCGUACGACAUAACCCAUCUUCUCUUCUCUCUUAUGUCGGUAUCACUCCACUUUGUAUUGUUGCUCCACAACUCUCAACUGAAAACUGCAUUAACCACCUUUUCCAAUUAUUCUCUUCACUCUGUCCCCCAACUUCUAAAAUCAAAAUUACCCCUUUUCUCCUCUCUUCAAAUUCCUAUAUUUUGGACGAAAAGUAAAGAAAUUAAAUCUUGUUUUGAUGUUCUAGAACUUUAAACCUUCUCAAUAGUCUUUUGAUUUUAUUUUAAGUGAAAAGUGAAAUGACGUGUAUGAGUGAAAAGUAACUUGUAGUUACUUUAGUGAUACGUGUACAAUUUGUAUUUGUAUUCAAUAACAGACCUUUUAUAUAAUCUUGAAAACUUUGCUCUGGACCAAACUGUCACUUGUCAUUGACAACAGGUAGUUCAAGUAGACUUUGAAGAUCCAUGGAAACUUGGUUUCGUGUAAUACGUUUAUAGUAUAGUUUGGUUGGAGCAUUGUCGUGUUCUUCUUAACAAGUGUUCAAAUUUCAAAGCUAUAUCGACAGAAGUUCUGGAAUAUAAUUUGCAACUUUUGUCCACGUAAUCGGAGAAAGUGUAACAGGAAGGAAACGUUUUUCUUGUUCUUUUAAAAGGUAUAUGUCAGACACUCCAUGAGUUAACCACAUUACAAUCUCGUGUGAUCAUUCUUUAUAAGCGUGCCACAUUGGCGUAAUAUCAUGGUUGAAAAUACUCACCCAUCCUGCAUGAUUUAACUAUUUUGUACAAAAUUUGAUCGACUACUUUCUUCCUGGAGCAAUUUGAUUGACUACUUUCUUCCUAGAGCUCAAUUCACAAAAAAAAAUAUCUAGUCAUUUUAUAUCACAGUAAUUCUUAUCAUCAUUUAAACCUACUCCAAAUUUACCAACAAUGCAUGUCUCUAUCAGUUGAAAAUAGCCUGCAGCAGUUGGAGACUUAAAAUUGAUUCAGGACCACCGGAUGGUAGGUGAAGUUGAAAAGGCUGGAGUUCUUCAUCACUAAAAGCUGAAAGAUAUGAGAUGAUUCGGAAUAACGAACUACAUAUAGGGGCUAAAAGUUAAAUGGGGGUAAAGCCCUUUUGAGGUUGGAAGACUAAGUGAAUGUGUCGUUACCAAAAAUGUAAAUGGAUGUUUGCAUGACUAGCGCAAUACAACUGUUUGAAUUUACUGAAGAUAUUCAUGACAUACAAGUGUCUCCAACAAAUUGAAGGGGUAAAAAAUAUGGCUAGAAAUGAACAUCCAUGGGUAGUCUAAGACCUAAUCUACAGGUAGGGUGGGGGGAUACAGAAAUUUAUACCACAUUUUGCUUUUCUUUGACACGCCAAAACACAAAUAAUCUCAUUGCCUAUGCAGAGAAUAAUAAUUGAGUGAUCCACAACUCUAAAAUCAAUUCAAUAGUCAUAACAAUCAAAGAACGCAACAAGGGUAAAAAAAAAAUGUUUUAAGACGUGAAUCUAAAGGGUAAAAAAAAAAUGUUUUAAGACGUGAAUCUAAAGCCUUAUCACGUGCCCCAUUUUCUCAACACCAAGUUAGUUGGCCAAGUCCAUUGAAUGUUAGCUAAGUCCUUCUAUCUCAGUCAAGCCAU
rnacentral:lncRNA from 1 species